GCAAUGGGGCAACCCCGACCGAGCAACGCCGGUGAAUGAAGAAGUUUUCGGAUCGUAAAGUUCUGUUGUAAUCAAGAACGGGUUUGAGAGUGGAAGUUCACACUGUGACGGUAGCUUACCAGAAAGGGACGGCUAACUACGUGCCAGCAGCCGCGGUAAUACGUAGGUCCCGAGCGUUGUCCGGAUUUAUUGGGCGUAAGGCGAGCGCAGGCGGUUUGAUAAGUCUGAAGUUAAAGGCUGUGGCUCAACCAUAGUUCGCUUUGGAAACUGUCAAACUUGAGUGCAGAAGGGGAGAGUGGAAUUCCAUGUGUAGCGGUGAAAUGCGUAGAUAUAUGGAGGAACACCGGUGGCGAAAGCGGCUCUCUGGUCUGUAACUGACGCUGAGGCUCGAAAGCGUGGGGAGCGAACAGGAUUAGAUACCCUGGUAGUCCACGCCGUAAACGAUGAGUGCUAGGUGUUGGAUCCUUUCCGGGAUUCAGUGCCGCAGCUAACGCAUUAAGCACUCCGCCUGGGGAGUACGACCGCAAGGUUGAAACUCAAAGGAAUUGACGGGGGCCCGCACAAGCGGUGGAGCAUGUGGUUUAAUUCGAAGCAACGCGAAGAACCUUACCAGGUCUUGACAUCCCGAUGCUAUUUCUAGAGAUAGAAAGUUACUUCGGUACAUCGGUGACAGGUGGUGCAUGGUUGUCGUCAGCUCGUGUCGUGAGAUGUUGGGUUAAGUCCCGCAACGAGCGCAACCCCUAUUGUUAGUUGCCAUCAUUCAGUUGGGCACUCUAGCGAGACUGCCGGUAAUAAACCGGAGGAAGGUGGGGAUGACGUCAAAUCAUCAUGCCCCUUAUGACCUGGGCUACACACGUGCUACAAUGGUUGGUACAACGAGUUGCGAGUCGGUGACGGCGAGCUAAUCUCUUAAAGCCAAUCUCAGUUCGGAUUGUAGGCUGCAACUCGCCUACAUGAAGUCGGAAUCGCUAGUAAUCGCGGAUCAGCACGCCGCGGUGAAUACGUUUCCGGGCCUUGUACACACCGCCCGUCACACCACGAGAGUUUGUAACACCCGAAGUCGGUGAGGUAACCUUUUGGAGCCAGCCGCCUAAGGUGGGACAGAUGAUUGGGGUGAAGUCGUAACAAGGUAGCCGUAUCGGAAGGUGCGGCUGGAUCACCUCCUUUCUAA
rnacentral:rRNA from 1 species